rnacentral:rRNA from 1 species
AUUGAACGCUGGCGGCAGGCCUAACACAUGCAAGUCGAGCGGAUGAAGGGAGCUUGCUCCUGGAUUCAGCGGCGGACGGGUGAGUAAUGCCUAGGAAUCUGCCUGGUAGUGGGGGAUAACGUCCGGAAACGGGCGCUAAUACCGCAUACGUCCUGAGGCAGAAAGUGGGGGAUCUUCGGACCUCACGCUAUCAGAUGAGCCUAGGUCGGAUUAGCUAGUUGGUGGGGUAAAGGCCUCCCAAGGCGACGAUCCGUAACUGGUCUGAGAGGAUGAUCAGUCACACUGGAACUGAGACACGGUCCAGACUCCUACGGGAGGCAGCAGUGGGGAAUAUGAGACAAUGGGCGAAAGCCUGAUCCAGCCAUGCCGCGUGUGUGAAGAAGGUCUUCGGAUUGUAAAGCAGUUUAAGGUGGGAGGAAGGGCAGUAAGUGAAUACCUUGCUGUUUUGACGUUACCAACAGAAUAAGCACCGGCUAACUACGUG